GGACUGCAAGUAUGUGAAAGCUGGGGGACAUUCCCCAGCCCUCAGAGGUGGGCAGAAGGGACGAUGGCACAGGACAGGAUUCGUUUCGUGGCAAAGAGGGAGGUAUGAAUAACCCAGAGGGAAGACACUUGUGAGCCUCUGGUGGGCUGCCCAGAGUGCCUGUCUACAUGCCCAGGAAUCAAGGCUCACAUACAAAGACUGUUGAUGCUUACGGUCAAAUUCACUUCUGCCAAGGAACGGAAACAACCGACAGACCCCUCUGUCAUUGCUCUAUCUAC